CGGUAAUUCCAGCUCCAAUAGCGUAUACUAAAGUUGUUGCAGUUAAAAAGCUCGUAGUUGGAUUUCUGCGGGGACGGAGCGGCCGGACGCAACUUGCGUCUCGAGCUAGCGCUUUCCCCGCAUCCUGCCGCGAACCGUGCUACCAUUAGUUUGGUGGCGCUGGGGAUCGGCUCGAUUACUUUGAGAAAAAUAGAGUGUUCAAAGCAGGCCACACGCCUUGAAUAAGUUAGCAUGGAAUAAUGACUAAGGACUUUGGUUCUUUUCGUUGGUGUUCGGGACUGAAGUAAUGAUUGAUAGGGACAGUUGGGGCGGUCCGUAUUCCAAAGCGAGAGGUGAAAUUCUUAGACCUUCGGAAGACGAACAGCUGCGAAAGCGUUCCGCAAGGAUGUUCCCUUUGAUCAAGAACGAAAGUUGGGGGAUCGAAGACGAUCAGAUACCGUCGUAGUCUCAACUAUAAACUAUACCAGCUAGGGAUCGGCCAACGUUUAAUUAUUCGACUUGGUCGGCACCUUAUGAGAAAUCAAAGCAUCUGGGUUCCGGGGGGAGUAUGGUCGCAAGGCUGAAACUUAAAGGAAUUGACGGAAGGGCACCACCAGCCGUGGAGCCUGUGGCUUAAUUUGACUCAACACGGGAAAACUUACCAGGUCCAGACAUAGGAAGGAUUGACAGAUUGAUAGCUCUUUCUUGAUUCUGUGGGUGGUGGUGCAUGGCCGUUUUUAGUCGGUGAAGUGAUCUGUCUGCUUAAUUGCGUUAACGGACGAGACCCCAGCCUGCUAAAUAGCGCGGCCGAGCUUUGCUCGGUGCGAGCUUCUUAGAGGGACCAUGAUGCGCGAUAGCACAAGGAAGUUUGGGGCAACAACAGGUCUGUGAUGCCCUUAGAUGUUCUGGGCCGCACACGGGCUACACUGGCGCCUGCAACGAGCAUAUCAGCUGGCCCGAGAGGGUCUUGGCUAAUCUUUGGAACCGGCGCCGUGCUUGGGAUUGACCAUUGCAAUUGUUGGUCAUGCAACGAGGAAUGCCUCGUAAACGCGAGUCAUCAGCUCGCAUUGAAUACGUCCCUGCCCUUUGUACACACCGCCC
rnacentral:rRNA from 1 species